GACCCAUUAGCUCAGCAGGUAGAGCACUGGACUUUUAAUCCAGGUGUCCGGCGUUCGAAUCGCCGAUGGGUCACCA
rnacentral:tRNA from 1 species